rnacentral:rRNA from 1 species
ACGUAGGGGGCGAGCGUUGUCCGGAAUUACUGGGCGUAAAGGGUGCGCAGGCGGGUUUUUAAGUCAGAGGUGAAAUACCCGGGCUUAACCUGGGGGGUGCAUUUGAUACUGGAAGGCUUGAGUUCGGGAGAGGAGAGUGGAAUUCCUGGUGUAGCAGUGAAAUGCGUAGAUAUUAGGGGGACCACCAGUGGCGAAGGCGUCUCACCGGGACGUAACCGACACUGAGGCACGAAAGCUUGGGGAGCAAACAG